GAUGAACGCUAGCGGCAGGCCUAAUACAUGCAAGUCGAACGGUGUCUUCGGACAUAGUGGCGCACGGGUGCGUAACACGUAUGCAACCUACCUUACAUUGGGGGAUAGCCUUUCGAAAGGGAGAUUAAUACCGCAUAAGACAGUAGCUGGGCAUCCAGCAGCUGUUAAAGAUUUAUCGAUGUAAGCUGGGCAUGCGUCCAAUUAGCUAGUUGGUGAGGUAACGGCUCACCAAGGCAAUGAUUGGUAGGGGAACUGAGAGGUCAAUCCCCCACACUGGCACUGAGAUACGGGCCAGACUCCUACGGGAGGCAGCAGUAGGGAAUAUUGGUCAAUGGGUGAGAGCCUGAACCAGCCAUGCCGCGUGCAGGAAGAAAGCCUUCUGGGUUGUAAACUGCUUUUGCCAGGGGAUAAAAUACCCAUGCGUGGGAAAUUGAAGGUACCUGGUGAAUAAGCCACAGCUAACUACGUGCCAGCCGCCGCCGUAA
rnacentral:rRNA from 1 species